CUGUGGGACAUGCAGAUGGCAAAGCAGGAUAAACGCUAUGAAGACCCGUCCUGACUGUUAGGAAGAAGACAUCCUGCAAUUCAGAUGGAAGGAAUAAUGUGAAGCCACUAAAUGUUAAACAAAUAACUAAAAUAAACCCAGUUGUGGGUUAAGGACCUGAGUAGAUGAUGAUCUGAUUGAGAUAGAGGAAUCCAGGAAAGGAAGGAGAGGGAGAUGCACAGAUGCUCAAAGGUUUGGUUCCUCCCUGUGGAACAUCCAAGAUGGUAAGACACUUGGUUAGCAGCGCUGUGCUGGGGCGUUGAGGGUCUCAAGCUCAGGGAAGAGGGUUGGAACAGAGAUACUUACUUGUGAGAUGUUAGCAUGACUGGAUCCUCGAUUUAGUCAUCUCUGCCAAGUUCCUUUUACCAGGUAAAAAACAUAUUUGCAGGUUCUUUGGAUUAGGAAACAGAGAGUAUCAUGACCAAUGUUUUGCAAAUCAAUUUGAAAUCUUAGAUGGCAUGAGCAGAUUCCUUGAAAAAUACCACUUUCCAGAACUAAAACAAUAAGUACAAAAUCUUUAUAAUUCCAUUUUUAUGGAUGGAAUUGAACCUAUAAUUUGAAACAUUCUCAGUAAGAAAAGUCAAGUCCGGAGGACCGAAUCAUUCAAUCACUAAACACACUGGAGGGAGAGCUGGCACUAACCGUCCAUGAACUCAACCAGAAAAUGGCAAAGGCAGGAACACUUCAGACUCUCUGCACGAGGCCAGCGCAAUCUUAAUAACAGAACUUCACAAAGACAUUGUAAGAUAGGAAAAUGAGAGGCAGAUUGUUCUCAUAAGCAUAGAUACAAAACUCCUAGACAAAAUAUUAACAAACCAAAUCUGUGGCAUAUAAAAAGAAUUAUACAUUACAACCAAGUUGGGUUUAUUCUAUAAAUGUGUGCUAAGAUUUAAAAUUCAAACAAUUGUGAUUUAUUAUAUUACCAUUAAACGUCACAGGAGCAUCUCGGUAGGCACAAAAUGAGCACUUGGUAUUUUCAACACCUGUUCAAAAUAAAAUUGGUAGCAAACUACGGAGAGAAGUUUCGUUUAUCCGAUAAAGGGUAUCUCAAGAAAACCCUACAGAGGUUGUCAUACUUGAUAAUAAAACUUCAAAAGCUUACUUUGUUUGUUGUUGGAAAGACCACAGCGUCUACUACAACUUCUACACGAUAGUACAUGGGAGGUUCUCUUCACUGCAAUAAGGCAAACAAAGGAAAAGUCAUGAGAAUUGGAAAGACAAAGUAAAACUGUGAUUUUGUAUAGUCAGCAUGAUUGCAUGGAUAGAAAAUGUAUUCGGAUAUACAGAUCAACUCUUAGAAUAAGUCGGUGAGUUUAACCGCGUUACUGAUGAGAGGCUAAUGUGAGAAAUCGAGUGUGUUUCCAUAUACUUUAAUGAACUGUUUAAAAAUUUUAUUUAAAGUGAAAACAUUUACAGUAGCAGAUAAAAUAAAGUUUCUAGGAAUAAAAGCAAUGUGUGCAAGAGUCUUUUACACAGAAAACUAAACAUUACUGAGAGAUAUUCAAGAAGUCUUAAGAAAAUAAACAGUAUACAUUAUUGAAGGAUUCUAAGAAUCAAUAUUGUAAUUAAGUUUAUUCUCCCAAAUUGAUUUAAAAAUUCAGUGUAACUCCUCUCAUAAUCUCAGUCCUUCUGUUUUACAAAUUGAAAAGCUGAUCCUAAAAUGUAUAUGAAAACAAAAAGGAUCAAAAAUAAUGAAGACAAACUGAGAAUAUAAAAAAAGGUUAGAGGUCUUUUACUCUCAGAUCUCAAACCAUCUUAAAGCUGCAGCAAUGAAAAUGGCAUAGUGCUGAUUGGUGUGAGAACAGACAAAUAAGUCAGUGUCAUAGAAUAGAGUGCAGAAGAAAACCCACAUUUACUAUUCACAUGAUUUGUGAGGAAAGAAA